rnacentral:rRNA from 1 species
CGUACACUCCUACGGGAGGCAGCAGUGGGGAAUAUUGGACAAUGGGCGCAAGCCUGAUCCAGCCAUGCCGCGUGAGUGAUGAAGGCCCUAGGGUUGUAAAGCUCUUUCACCGGUGAAGAUAAUGACGGUAACCGGAGAAGAAGCCCCGGCUAACUUCGUGCCAGCAGCCGCGGUAAUACGAAGGGGGCUAGCGUUGUUCGGAUUUACUGGGCGUAAAGCGCACGUAGGCGGACUAUUAAGUCAGGGGUGAAAUCCCGGGGCUCAACCCCGGAACUGCCUUUGAUACUGGUAGUCUUGAGUUCGAGAGAGGUGAGUGGAAUUCCGAGUGUAGAGGUGAAAUUCGUAGAUAUUCGGAGGAACACCAGUGGCGAAGGCGGCUCACUGGCUCGAUACUGACGCUGAGGUGCGAAAGCGUGGGGGGCAAACAGGAUUAGAAACCCUGGUAGUCCCAU